rnacentral:rRNA from 1 species
AGAGUUUGAUCCUGGCUCAGAAUCAACGCUGGCGGCGCGCCUAACACAUGCAAGUCGAACGAGAAAGUGGAGCAAUCCAUGAGUAAAGUGGCGUACGGGUGAGUAACACGUGGGUGAUCUACCUCUUAGUGAGGAAUAACCCUGGGAAACCGGGGCUAAUACCGCAUAAGCCUUAGCAGGGAAAGUCGAAAGACGCUGAGAGAGGCGCCCGCGGCCGAUUAGCUAGUUGGUGAGGUAAGAGCCCACCAAGGCAGAGAUCGGUAGCCGGCCUGAGAGGGCACACGGCCACACUGGCACUGAAACACGGGCCAGACUCCUACGGGAGGCAGCAGUGGGGAAUCUUGCACAAUGGGGGAAACCCUGAUGCAGCGACGCCGCGUGAGCGAUGAAGCCCUUCGGGGUGUAAAGCUCUUUCGUCAGGGAAGAUAGUGACGGUACCUGGAGAAGCAGCUGCGGCUAACUACGUGCCAGCAGCCGCGGUAAUACGUAGGCAGCAAGCGUUGUUCGGAGUUACUGGGCGUAAAGGGUGUGUAGGCGGUUCUUUAAGUUUGGUGUGAAAUCUCCCGGCUCAACCGGGAGGGUGCGCCGAAUACUGAGGGACUAGAGUGUGGGAGAGGAAAGUGGAAUUCCUGGUGUAGCGGUGAAAUGCGUAGAUAUCAGGAGGAACACCGGUGGUGUAGACGGCUUUCUGGACCAUAACUGACGCUGAGACACGAAAGCGUGGGUAGCAAACAGGAUUAGAUACCCUAGUAGUCC